rnacentral:rRNA from 1 species
UACGAAGGGUGCAAGCGUUAAUCGGAAUUACUGGGCGUAAAGCGCACGUAGGUGGUUUGCUAAGUCAGCUGUGAAAUCCCCGGGCUCAACCUGGGCACUGCAGUUGAAACUGGCAAGCUAGAGUAGGGUAGAGGGGUGUGGAAUUCCAGGUGUAGCGGUGAAAUGCGUAGAUAUCUGGAGGAACAUCAGUGGCGAAGGCGACACCCUGGACUCAUACUGACACUGAGGUGCGAAAGCGUGGGGAGCAAACAGG